GACGGAGGGUGCAAGCGUUGUUCGGAAUUACUGGGCGUAAAGGGCGCGUAGGCGGUCUGUUAAGUUCGGUGUGAAAGCCCCCGGCUCACCUGGGGAACUGCGCCGGAAACCGACAGACUCGAGUACCGGAGAGGAGGGUGGAAUUCCUGGUGUAGCGGUGAAAUGCGCAGAUAUCAGGAAGAACACCCGUGGCGAAGGCGGCUCUCUGGAACGCAACUGACGCUGAGACGCGAAAGCGUGGGGAGCAAACAGG
rnacentral:rRNA from 1 species